rnacentral:lncRNA from 1 species
GGCGGCUGUCUCGCGGUAAGCGCGGUGGCUGUCGUUUGCACGCCAGACCGGACGGCCGACGACAGGCGGUGCGCUCAAUUCCUGUGUGCGUCGGCCGCCCGCGGCGACGUCGCGUCGUUGUCGCCAUCGUCAUCGCCGUUGAUCUUAUUAUAGAACAUUUUUUGUUGUUUAUUUUUUUUUUUUUUUCCCUCGAUUGUUUUAGAAUUUAUAUUAUCGUCUUCCCGUUCAACCGCCCCUGUCCUCGCCGGCCCCGUUAACAUUAUAUGCAUAGGACGUUGUACGUGCAGGACGUUACACGGCAACAAAUGCAAUUAUCACUUGACGUUCCGUUUAAUGUUUUUAAGUUUUUUCGUUUUGCAAUCACUAAGAGUGAUUAACAGAUUUCAAUUAUUGUUUAGUAGUGCAGGCGACGGUUUCAACCACCGUAAACUCGAAAAAUUAGUAGGAAAUUUUAACUGCUCGUCACUAGUUAACAUGCCUGUAACACCGACAUUUCGUUUCGAAAUAAAUUCGCGAAAACCGCAAUUUUGUAAAAAAAAAAAAAAAAAAAACAAUUUUUAGUAUUCAAAAAAAAAGAAACUUACGUAUAGUUUAAAAUUCGUAGCGCGAGGCUCUGGGAAUUAUCGCGAAAAAUAAAAACUCAAAAAUAUUAAACGGAACAAAAGUAAUCGCGCGUGUCAAUACUCUGCGGGAUGCCCUGUACGUGUGUAUAAUAUCCGACACAGCGAUCGGUAUUUUGUCGCGUCGUUAAAAACUGUAAUUUAUCGAUAACGACAUAUUAAUGAUAGCCGUUUACUAUUUUAACGCGAGAUUGCGUGUUUUGGCGAUGCGGUUUAGAGCGACCGCGAUCGCGGUUAUCGUUUGAUAACCGUUUUCCGGCAAACGGACCGCCGGAAUCGGGAAACUAUUGACAAAACUACGUUUACUGCGGCGUUCGGUUACUGGUUUUUUGCGGAUUCGUAAUAACAUCAUUAUAGUCGUAGUUUACGGGCGAACAAAAACGUUUUAGUGACAUCGCAACCGAGUAGAUACCGUGGAGUAACAGUGUACGGAGGCGAUCAUCCCUGUGACGGCCGUGUAACAAAACCGUCGUUCGUUGACCCUGAAAAGGACACCGUUGACGAAAAUUCGCUCCGCUAUUUCGCAUCGCGCGUCGACAAACAUUGACAUCUGUUUGACGGUAAGUGAUAACCGUUUGGCAUUUCUGUGCAUCAUUGUGAUGACGUGUUACCCAACGCCGUGCAGUGCGCAUGUUUGCAAACGAAUUGACAUUGUCACAGUGUUUCAAUUUUGUUGAAAAUGUCACACCGAAAACGCAGUCUGCAGCCACUAUUGUUUUCGCUUAAAUUUGUAUUCGGAUCGCCGCCUCUACGUUACUCCGUGGUAGGUAUACCGUACCGGACAACGGCUGUAAUAUCAUAGACCUCAUAUGAAUAGACCGGCUUUGCCUUUAGAGGUAGCUGAGGUGGUAACCGGUCAGACGUACCACAGCGGUGCGCGGUAUAAUUACAUCAGUGUUGCGUUGUAUGUGUAGCAAAAUGUACAAUAAUGACACGUAAAAGUCACACGUGAAGAGCGUUCUAUGACCGCGCUCCGUGUACAAAACGCUCGUCUAUCGGCGCAAUGUAUGAUACGCAAAAUAGCGACCGUUUAUCGAAAACUGCACCGCCAAAACACGUCCGGUAAUACAUUUUAAUACCGUGUUAAUCCGGGCUACCUCGUCCACCGCGAUGUUACACAGCGCGUCCCACGCAAUUGUAAUGCAAUGUCGAAAUAUCUUCCCGUUACUCUAUACGAUUCACCCAAAUCCGGUACGAUUGAAAACGUCGUGUUGUGACGACUAAUAACUAAAUGACAUUAAAACGUAAAUAAUAUUAUUGAAUAUACGAUAUAAAUGUAAUAAAGUAUAAUAUAACCGUGUCGCGGUACACCUAAUUUUACGAUAUCGCCUAUACGCGCGAGAAACGGUGACACGACUCAAACUGUUGUUAGUUUUUCGGGAUCUCGCCGACAGUACGGUAGGUAAUAGCCAACGGUAACCGAUCACCGGUUUGAAUUGCGACGGUAUUCAUUGACGAACAUUCACUUUUUAUAGCGUAUACAAAACACCGAGAAAUUACUUUGGAUAACGUCGUUUUUACACUCGGGAAUCGAGUUUCUACGGGCCGUGUCAUUAUGCGCGUGAUUAGUGCCCGCUCUCCUUAUCGGUCUAGCUGUUAUGUCAGUAAUAAUUUGAUAAUUUGGAUCCGAACCGUAUUCGUUUGAUACGAGCGAUUACAAACUAAGAUUUGACUGUUAUUAUUAAACGAGAGUAGGUACCUAGUCACUCGAACGAACUUUUUAGCAACGGUUUAAACAUCCAAACGGUUACGAUAACGCAGUAUAUGCGAGUUUUAUCACAUUUACGCGUGCGUCUUUAUUCGUUUGGACCCGAUUGUACAUGAUAAAUAUAAGGGCUGUUAUCACAUAAUAUUAUUACGUCAAGACUAAUCGCGCGUAUUCUCGCGCUUAUAUUAUUAUUACUAUAUAAUUAUAAUAUACUUACUAUUGAUUAUUGUAUUGCGUCGGUUGUAAACGUGAAAUAACGUCACGACGACUUAAAAAAAAAAUAUAUAUACAUACGUAUAUAUGAAAUGCAUUAUAGAAAAUAUUGAUGUUUGAAAAUAAUGAUAACAUACCAUUAUUAAAUAAUAAAUAUUAUGUAAGAAAAUUGUUUAUAUAAUGAUAAAAAUAUACUACACAAA